UGAGGCUGGGUGGUGGGGAUGUGGGGAGGCGAGGGGGCACCCAGAUACUUCAGGAGGUGCCGGGGGGGCCUUUGAGGUGCCCCCUCCCCCAACUCCCCCCCCCGGCGGUGUGGCGCCUGCGCGGGGGCGGCGCUGGGUGUGGUGCGUGCC